GAUGAACGCUGGCGGCGUGCCUAAUACAUGCAAGUCGAGCGAAGCGGGGACGGGUGAGUAACACGUGGAUAACCUCCUAUAAGACUGGGAUAACUUAGGGAAACCGGAGCUAAAACGGAUAAUUAUAGAUGGAUCAUGGCUGCAUUAGCUAGUUGGUAAGGUAACGGCUUACCAAGGCAACGAUGCCUAGCCGACCUGAGAGGGUGAUCUGCCACACUGGAACUCAGACACGGUCCAUACUCCUACGUGAGGCAGCAGUAGGGAAUCUUCCUCAAUGGGCGAACGCCUGACGGAGCUACGCCGCGUGAGUGAUGAAGGUCUUCGGAUCGUAAAACUCUUUUAUUAGGGAAGCGGUACCUAAUAAGAAAGCCACGGCUAACUACGUGCCAGCAGCCGCGGUAAUAC
rnacentral:rRNA from 1 species